GGAACAGAGUAUCAUCUUUAUCCUCUUCCGAAUCAAGCCAAGCGUAUCCCGUGAUCCUCUUCUUCCGACUUCUUCUCAGCUCACGAAUCCAGCCUUGCAUCCAUAUCCCCUGUUCUGGAUCAACCUCAUCCGCAAGCCAUUCCGCAUUUCAGCAGCGUCUGAAUCAUCCGGAUUGCAGCCCAGCAAUUUUUCCAUGAUGCUGUUCGCUUCCUCUGUACAUCUCAGCAUGAUCAUCCUUAUCCCAUCUUCUUCCGCUAGUUCCCAAGCGUCA
rnacentral:lncRNA from 1 species